GUCCACGCCUUAAACGAUGAGAGCUAGUUGUCAGUAAGCAUGCUUAUUGGUGACGCAGCUAACGCAUUAAGCUCUCCGCCUGGGGAGUACGGCCGCAAGGUUAAACUCAAAGAAAUUGACGGGGGCCCCGCACAAGCGGUGGAGCAUGUGGUUUAAUUCGAAGCAACGCGCAGAACCUUACCCACAUUUGACAUCCCGUGCUAUCUAGAGAGAUUUAGAGUCCCUUCGGGGCGCGGAGACAGGUGCUGCAUGGCUGUCGU
rnacentral:rRNA from 1 species